rnacentral:rRNA from 1 species
CCUGCGGGAGGCUGCAGUGGGGAAUUUUGGACAAUGGGCGCAAGCCUGAUCCAGCUAUUCCGCGUGUGGGAUGACGUCCCUCGGGAUGUAAACCACUUUAGUAGAGAACGAAACGGAGCUAUCGAAUAAAUAGCUCUGCUGACGGUACUCUAAGAAUCAGCCCCGGCUAAAUACGUGCCAGCAGCCGCAGUAAUACGUAGGGUGCGAGCGUUGAUCGGAAUUACUGGGCGUAAAGGGUGAGCAGGCGGCUGAGUAAGACAGAUGUGAAAUCCCCGGGCUUAACCUGGGAACCGCCUAUGUGACUGCGUGGCUAGAGUGCGUCAGAGGGAGGUGGAAUUCCACGUGUAGCAGUGAAAUGCGUAGAUAUGUGGAAGAACACCGACGGCGAAGGCAGCCUGCUGGGACGCAACUGACGCUGAUACUCGAAAGCGUGGGGAGCGAACAGGAUUAGAUACCCCUGUAGUC